ACUAAUUUGGCAGAUUUAAUUGUAUUAACUUUAGAAGUUAAAUUAUAUAUUUAUAAUAUAAUUAGUA
rnacentral:tRNA from 1 species